GACAGAGGGUGCAAACGUUGUUCGGAAUUACUGGGCGUAAAGCGCGUGUAGGCGGCCAUCUAAGUCGGGCGUGAAAUCCCACGGCUCAACCGUGGAAGUGCACUCGAAACUGGAUGGCUAGAGUCCUGGAGAGGAAGGUGGAAUGCUUGGUGUAGCGGUGAAAUGCGCAGAUAUCAGGAGGAACACCGGUGGCGAAGGCGGCUUGCUGGGCCUUACCUGACGCUGAGGAGCGAAAGCGUGGGGAGCGAACAGG
rnacentral:rRNA from 1 species